rnacentral:lncRNA from 1 species
UGUUGGCAGAGUGCCCAAGGUUAGCACAUGUGUUUGUAAUUAGAAAGAUAAGGCCCCGUGCGGCGUUAACUCCCCUCGGCCUGCUGUCUGAAGGCACAGAUGUUGGCUGCACACCUGGGUGAGUUAUUCGGCAGAAGACUCGGCCCGCCCACAGAACCAUCUUUGGACAGUCUGCAGGUACCUCUGGUGAUUUCCUGCUCAUGAGUCGUUACUGCCUGAUUCCAUGGGGCUUUGGGACCAGUGACCUGGACACAGUAGGGUUCUGGGGAAGGGUACAUAAGAGACAGCUCAACACAUGUCUCAGAUUGGUGCUGUGUCAGUAAGAGUCUCUCUGCCAGGACCUUUUAGAAUGUGGAACAAUUUCAUGUUUUCCUUCCCUGUUGUAUGUAAUGCCUUAGUGACCAUUGACAGUUACUAGUGUUUGGUAUUAGUUCCUUCCUCUGCUUUGUUUGUUCUUCCAAGCCUCUCAGUGUCACUGGGUCUAGAGCAUAAGUUGCUCAUGGGCCAUGUAUCAACUUCAACAUUGUUAGGGUCCAUCAUAUUUCAUAUCUCCAAAGACUGAGCUGUGUGCUCCUGGAGGCUGUAACCUAGAAGAAGCAUGAGUGGAUUUCUGCUGGACUAAGCUUAGCUAGACACAGACUCUGUCAGUCUCCUAUGCUGAUGAGUUUGGGAAAUCUAAAUUUAAAGGGAUGGCUCUGGUUAAUUGAGGUUAUUUAGAGCUAUGUGUUAUUUAGAACUUCUUGGAAAGUUCUGGGAAAGACAUCCUGUUUUAUUUUGAGAAUAAUUCCUAUUGAAAUUCAUCUCCUCCAUAGACAACCUUUUGGAACUAAUGAAGUUUAUUGCUGUUCAUAGGAAUAAACUUCCUGUUGUCUCAUUCAGAACAAUUCUCAGAUUAGGCAUAUUUUCCCUUUAGACUAUUCUGGUUAUUUGUUAUAGCACAAGAUUAGUGUUUAACUGAAUUGUUUCUCUGCGACUCAUACACAGUAAAUGCUUUAAAUAGAUUAGGUAGUUUUAUAAACCUUUUACUUCUUGCCAGAUUCUACAUAAUGCAAAUGGGCAUGCCUAUUGGAUUUUCAUCACCUUAUUUUUUUUUCUUCCCAGCAUGUGUGAACUGUGUGCGGUGGUCAAACAGUGGGAUGUAUUUAGCUUCUGGGGGAGAUGACAAACUGAUUAUGGUGUGGAAGCGGGCUACGUAAGCAUCAUUUUCCUUUUUCACAUUUAAUUUUUAGAAGCUUCUUUGCUGGUCUUUAUCAAAGUCACCUUUCCCACCCUGGCAUAGAAGUCCUAACUUCAUAAGUAGCAAGAAGUUGCCAUAGGUCAGAAGUGGAUGAAGCCUGACAAGUGACUCGGAGGCUUCCAUUCUGCCUGCUGACCAGGCCAGCUAUCCUCUUGUAGGAACACAGUACUUAGCUGAGAAGGAAGGGUUAAUCCUUACAGCCACUGACAUUGUGGCUUCCUUUGUUUGUUAUUCAAAUAAAAUUUCACAUGAAACCCUUACAUACAAAAUGACUAAGAUCUGAAUCAGGGCUGGGAAUCCGGAGCCCACCUUCCUUGCCUCAUUUUGUGGCAGCCUUGCCUUGCAGUAAACUAAGGGUCAACUGUGGACAUUUUUUUCUUUAUCCUUGAGCGUAAUGGGUCCUGAUACUGUGUACCAUAAUAAGCUUUCCAUGUGGCUCUCGGUCACACUGUGUCCCAGACCUGGCAUCAUUGUUUAGCCAGAGUAACUGGAGGCAUAGCUUUGAGAGCUGAGUGAUGCCAUCUUCUGUGCUCACUUGGCUGCCUCAGGAGCUCUCUGGGUAAGUGUAUAGCUUUACAAGAGCAAAGGGUGUUUGUAGAGGCUCUGGACAUGGUGCCAUCUUCCAUGUAAUUCUACCUGGAAGGAGUCAGUCCUGUGACUCUUGUAUUUUUCUUCCUUAUUUUUUAAAGCAGGAAUAUUGAAUCCAUUAUAAAGGGGCUUAAAUUAUUGUUUUUUUUUUUUUUUUUUUGAGUUAGGCAUAGUGGCUCCUACCUGUGGACCCAGCUACUCAGGAGGGACUGGCUUGAACCCAGGAGUUUGAGAUUAUUCUGGGCAAUAUAGUGAGUGAGACCCUGCCUUCAAAUAAAAAUGUAGUUAAUAUUCUUCUUCUUCUUCUUUUUUUAAUUAAAAAAAGACAGGGGUCUCAUGUAGCCCAGACCCUUGGAUGACCUUGAACUUCUGAUCCGUCUGUCCCUACAUCCUGAGUGCUGAGAUUACCAGUGUGCAUCACAUGCCUGGGUGCUUAUAUUUACUUAUUUAUUUAUUUAUUUAUUUAUUUAUGAUACCCUACUUUAAAUAACCAACACAAAUACUAUGUUUAGUAUGCACUUUAGAAAUGUAAAAAUAGCUCAUAGUCCUACAACCUAAAGAAAGCCAUGGUUAAGCUUUUGUUUUUUCUGGUGUGUAUUUCUUUGCUCUAUUCCAUGUGUAGAGUGUCUGUGCUACAUGUAGUUUUUAAGUCAUGUAAAUGGUAUCAUACUGUAUGUAGAUGGUGGCCCGUGGUCUGCUUUUCUCUCACUUUGUCUUGAAAAUUUUCCUGUUGAAGAUUUGUAGUGGCUGAGGAUUAUUUCACAAGUGCAUGGAUUGAUCCUAAGUUACCACUUCUGCCACAUCUUUUGUUUAACUGGUGCUUUUAGCUGCUAUCUGGUUUUGCCUUUUCUGUUUGCUAUGAUAAGCUGUGCCACAGGGAGCACCUUUAAACAGUAUCUAGAACACUCCUUGAGUGCAUAUCUCAUGCCUCUUUCACACAGGUACAUUGGGCCCAGCACUGUGUUUGGUUCCAGUGGUAAGCUUGCCAAUGUGGAGCAAUGGCGGUGUGUCUCCAUCCUCCGGAGUCACUCAGGCGGUAAGUAGGCUCCUUUGUUUGGGUGAGUGGAUCCCUUUUUUUUUUUUUUUUUUUCGAGACAGGCCCUUUUGAUUGCCUUACAAUUAACACCCCUAUGUACUGUUUGGUCCUUAAAGUACUACCUGGGAUUUCCCUAUCAUCGCUUGUCCUUGCUUAAGGUUCUGGCUCCUUCACCUGCCUUCACUUGCAUUCAAUUACCAACACAUACUGUUAAAACAUGUAAAUGUAUGUGUUUAGCAUGGAGCUCCCAGCCUUUCAUUGCUUAUUCUGCAGGAGUACUUUCAUUCUUAGAUCAUAAACACAUUCGAUCUACUCCUGAGAUACAAGCCUGUAGGUACUUACUAGAAAAUUUCUUUCUUUCUUUUUUUUCUUUUUCAUUCAUUCAUUCUUUUUACAUACAUACAUAUAUACCAUACAUAAAUUAAUUUGUGUGUAUGAGCAUGUCUACUACAUGAACAUGUAGAGGUGAGAUGACACUUGCCUGAGUCAGUUCCCUUGCUCUACCAUGUGGGUUCUGAGGAUCAAAGUUAGUUUGCCAGGCUUAGUAGCAAGCCACUGAGCCAUCUGGAAGAAACUCCUUAAAAAAACAAAACAAAAUAAAACAAGAAUAUACAAAUAUCCGUUAGGAUUGAGCCUGGAACUCUAGGAGAAUACAAGGUCAUAGGGAUAGAUUUCAAUUCACUAGUAGUAUAUACUCAACAGAUUCUUUUAACUUUAAGUGAAUAAACUAAUUUCUUAAAAAUAUUUUUGGAGAUUAUAUUGUUGUGUGAGUGAAUGUCUUUGGGUAUAUAUCUGUGUACUACAUGUAUGUGGUGCCUGUGGAGGUCAGAAGAGGAAUGUUGGAUCUUUUUGAACUGGUGUCUAAGGUGAUUGCUAGCCACAAUAUAGGUGCUGGAAAUUGAACUGGAGUUCUUUGGAAUUGCAGCCUGUGUUUUUAACUGCUGACCCAUCUCUUCAGCCUGCCUUGCCCCCUCUCUAAAAGAUACUUCAUUAUAAAUUAUGUGUUCAGGCUGGGAAGGUGGUACAUGCUUUUAAUCUUAGUACUCAUGAAGUAGAGGCAGGCAGAUCUCUCAGCCAGCUUGGUCCACAUAAUGAAUUCCAGGCCAGCCAAGGCUAAACAGUGAGACCCUGUACCCC